ACGCACGCUGGCGGCGUGCCUAAUCCAUGCAAGUAGAACGCUGAAGGAGGAGCUUGCUUCUCCGGAUGAGUUGCGAACGGGUGAGUAACGCGUAGGUAACCUGCCUGGUAGCGGGGGAUAACUAUUGGAAACGAUAGCUAAUACCGCAUAAGAGUAGAUGUCGCAUGACAUUUGCUUAAAAGGUGCAACUGCACCACUACCAGAUGGACCUGCGUUGUAUUAGCUAGUUGGUGAGGUAACGGCUCACCAAGGCAACGAUACAUAGCCGACCUGAGAGGGUGAUCGGCCACACUGGGACUGAGACACGGCCCAGACUCCUACGGGAGGCAGCAGUAGGGAAUCUUCGGCAAUGGACGGAAGUCUGACCGAGCAACGCCGCGUGAGUGAAGAAGGUUUUCGGAUCGUAAAGCUCUGUUGUAAGAGAAGAACGAGUGUGAGAGUGGAAAGUUCACACUGUGACGGUAUCUUACCAGAAAGGGACGGCUAACUACGUG
rnacentral:rRNA from 1 species